AAUAGAUACCCCGGUAGUCCACGCCGUAAACGAUGAGUGCUAAGUGUUAGAGGGUUUCCGCCCUUUAGUGCUGCAGCUAACGCAUUAAGCACUCCGCCUGGGGAGUACGGUCGCAAGACUGAAACUCAAAGGAAUUGACGGGGGCCCGCACAAGCGGUGGAGCAUGUGGUUUAAUUCGAAGCAACGCGAAGAACCUUACCAGGUCUUGACAUCCUCUGACAACUCUAGAGAUAGAGCGUUCCCCUUCGGGGGACAGAGUGACAGGUGGUGCAUGGUUGUCGUCAGCUCGUGUCGUGAGAUGUUGGGUUAAGUCCCGCAACGAGCGCAACCCUUGAUCUUAGUUGCCAGCAUUUAGUUGGGCACUCUAAGGUGACUGCCGGUGACAAACCGGNGGAAGGUGGGGAUGACGUCAAAUCAUCAUGCCCCUUAUGACCUGGGCUACACACGUGCUACAAUGGAUGGUACAAAGGGCUGCAAGACCGCGAGGUCAAGCCAAUCCCAUAAAACCAUUCUCAGUUCGGAUUGU
rnacentral:rRNA from 1 species